UACGUAGGGUGCGAGCGUUAAUCGGAAUUACUGGGCGUAAAGCGUGCGUAGGCGGUCCCGCAAGUCCGCUGUGAAAGCCCCGAGCUUAACUUGGGAACUGCAGUGGAAACUAUGGGACUUGAAUCCGGCAGAGGGGGGUGGAAUGCCACGUGUAGCAGUGAAAUGCGUAGAGAUGUGGCGGAACACCGAUGGCGAAGGCAGCCCCCUGGGCCAGCACUGACGCUCAUGCACGAAAGCGUGGGGAGCAAACAGG
rnacentral:rRNA from 1 species